rnacentral:rRNA from 1 species
AAUGGUCGGAAGACUGAUCCAGCCAUGCCGCGUGAAGGAUGAAGGCGCUCAGCGUUGUAAACUUCUUUUGGACGGGAACAAAAUGCGGGAUUUAUCCUGUACUGAGGGUACCGUCAGAAUAAGCACCGGCUAACUCCGUGCCAGCAGCCGCGGUAAUACGGAGGGUGCAAGCGUUAUCCGGAAUCACUGGGUUUAAAGGGUGCGUAGGCGGUCUGAUAAGUCAGUCGUGAAAUCGCUGGGCUCAACCCAUGCAACUGCGAUUGAUACUGUCAGACUUGAAUCAGGUUGAGGUAGGCGGAAUGUGGCAUGUAGCGGUGAAAUGCUUAGAUAUGCCAUAGAACACCGAUUGCGAAGGCAGCUUGCUGGGCCUGAAUUGACGCUGAGGCACGAAAGCGUGGGGAGCAAA